rnacentral:rRNA from 1 species
GACGAACGCUGGCGGCGUGCUUAACACAUGCAAGUCGAACGAAGUGGCGAAUGGGUGAGUAACGCGUAAUCAACCUGCCCUUCAGAGGGGGACAACAGUUGGAAACGACUGCUAAUACCGCAUACUGAAGGCGGGGAUUGCGUCUGAUUAGCUAGUUGGAGGGGUCACGGCCCACAAAGGCGAGGAUCAGUAGCAGGUCUGAGAGAAUGAACGGCCACAUUGUGACUGAGACACGGCCCAGACGCCCACGGGAGUCAGCAGUGGGGAAUCUUCCGGAAUGGACGAAAGUCUGACGGAGCAACGCCGCGUGAGGGAUGACGGCCUUCGGGUUGUAAAGAGCUGUUAAUCGGGACGCGGUACCGGAAUAGAAAGCCACGGCUAACUACGUGCCAGCAGCCGCGGUAAUUC